rnacentral:SRP_RNA from 1 species
AACGGGUAAGUCAUACACGACCAGCUCCCUUUGAAUUCCCCCAGGACCGGAAGGUAGCAAGGGUAGGAGGUUGUAGCGGUGCGAUGUAUUCAGCUUACCCU